rnacentral:rRNA from 1 species
AUUGAACGCUGGCGGCGUGCUUAACACAUGCAAGUCGAGCGGUAACAGGCGUAGCAAUACGUGCUGACGAGCGGCGAACGGGUGCGUAAUACAUGGGAAUCUGCCUAGUAGUGGGGAAUAACCCGGCGAAAGCCGGGCUAAUGCCGCAUACGAUCCACGGAUGAAAGCGGGGACCUUCGGGCCUCGCGCUAUUGGAUGAGCCCAUGUCGGAUUAGCUAGUUGGNGAGGUAACGGCCCGCCAAGGCGACGAUCCGUAGCUGGUCUGAGAGGAUGAUCAGCCACACUGGGACUGAGACACGGCCCAGACUCCUACGGGAGGCAG